GCGGGAGUAGCUCAGUGGUAGAGCAUCUGUUUUCCAAACAGAUGGCCGUGGGUUCGAUCCCCAUCUCCCGCU
rnacentral:tRNA from 1 species